rfam:Danio rerio chromosome 6, GRCz11 reference primary assembly.
UCCGGCAGCUAGCUCUCUGCAACUCUCACAUGGUCGCCCACUGAAGCUAAGCAGGGCUGCGCCCGGUCAGUACCUGGAUGGGAGACCACAUGGGAAAGCUAGGUUGCUGCCGGAA